UAUGUGCUGCACACCGCUUAUUGUACCAUGCAAUCACUCCUUGUCCUUCUCCUUUUUAGCUUUUAAUGAGCUCCUGCACUGGCACUUGGGCAAUUUCCCAAAACUACCCUUCAGAACUCCAAGAAGGCACCAUGAGAUCUGCAGGCAGCACUGCAGAUUCCUGAGAACUGGCACAGCUACACUGGAGACCUCUGAUAAAGCAAAGACCUCUGAUAAACUGCUGCUUGUGUCACAAGAUUUUUUGAACUCUUGCACAUGCAGCUGGCAUCAGGAAUCAAACAAUGCAUGUCACUAAAUCUUUUUAUGGAGACACAGGAGAUUAAGACUUAUCUUAUGACUGGGAAGGUUUCUAUUCUCUGUAUCAACAGGAGAAAGUCCUGAAGGUGAAUAAACUCCAAAGUCUCCAAUGAAGCAAAGAGAGGGCAGCUUUUCGCAUAAUAUGGGCCUUGCUCUGUGAUUCUCUACCACUGCCUUCUGAGACUGCAUCAGCAGCCAGCUCAUUUUUUAUCUACUUUAAGUAAGGAGAAACAUAAAAUGUCUAAAUAUCCUCAGCUUGCUAUGUAAGAGGCCCAUUAAAGACUCUCGGUGAGACAAGCAUGUUGUCAGAUUUCGGAACAUCACAGAUUUUAAUACAGAAAGCAUGAAAGAACAGGUGAAAUUAUUUAUUUAUGUAAUGAGUAGUGAUGCCAAGUACUUCCAGAUCCUGCUGUCUUUUCUAAGGAACGAGAUAGAAAUAAUGACAUCACUAAUCUUGCAAAGACACGUGAGCACUUCUUUCCAGAAAUAACUGUUAAGCAUAAAAUUUCAGUCAUUAAUCAAAGAGCACGGGGGCCUAACCCUUUUUAGGAUUCUAAGAGGAAACGUGAAGCAAUAUGACUGUAAAGCAACACAAAUGUAAGGGGCACUUAACCUUUAUUCUAAGCAGGUAACUUCAAGAAAAGCACGCCUGGGGCCAGUUUCUCUCUACUAGUGUAGAUUUGUAUUGAUUCUGCAAAGACGCAGCAAGUUUUACCAUUUCAGAGGUUGGUCUCUGCCUGGAAGAAAGAAGGGCACCACCACAUGAUAUCAUGAAUAUGAAGAAAAGAAAGUAAUAAAAUAUGCUGCAGGAAGGAGCAGAAGACACAUACCCAUGAGGAAAGAAAAACAUAGGAUAAACAAAACGCGUAAGAAGCUCUUUCAGGAAAAAGAACUAGCAGACGCAGCACAAGGGAAUGUGAACUCUGCACAGACACUGAAAAUACAGGUCAACUCCAGAAAGAGAGUGCUUACAAAGAUGAGUCGUUUUAUCUCAGAUCCACAGUCCUGUUGAUAAAUCCCAAAGUGAUUCAACAAGAAGGAAAAUUUCACAGGGAAUGAGUCCCAGCCCUUAUUUGGAGCAGCAGAAGGUAUUGCUUAGCGGUCUGGGGAGACAAAUAAACUGCCUGGGCCAAUUCAAAACU